GCGACUCAAGAAAACCAUGCCAGCCAGAUCUAUCACCAGAUCCGUUUCAUGAGCAGAUCUGUGAGGAUUCCACCGCCUAUUCCCCUCCGCCUUGUUACGCUGCUUCAAUCGCGGCUUCUCCUUCAUUCCAGGGCUUUGCUGAUGUAAGCAACCAUUGAGUCAAGAUCAAUCGGUGAUGAGUGUACCAGUUAAUCACCUUUCAUAAAGGGGAAUGAUUGUUAGAAGAACGUGUUGAUGCAAAUGUGAGUAUUUUAUUUUGCUUUUCUAUACUUCUUAAUUUGCAGUAUUUUUAGUGCAAAUGUGAAUAUUUUAUUUGUUCUCCGAGGCUUUAUAAAGGGGAAUGAUUGUUAGAAGAACGUGUUGGUGCCGCUAUAUCUCAAAAAUGGGCAGCAGCUGAGAAGAAAAGAUUGGGAUUAUUAGAAGCUGACAUGGAAAAGGCACAUGCUAGGCAUUUACAAGUACGAAAGGUAGCCAAAUUCGUCUCUCAACAGGGAGAGAUUGAAAGGAGGAGAUUACAAGACAGUUGGAAGAUAAAUUGCAAAGGGUGCUGGAGAAAAACCCCUGCCCUUACUAAACAGAUAAAGAAAGCGGGUCCAGCUAGAUCAGUCUCAAAUUCAUCGGUCAAGCUGUCAAGGUACCAAGUCAGAGUAGUGCUAUGUGCGUACAUGAUUUUGGGUCAUCCCAAUGCGGUUUUCAGUGGUCAAGGAUAAUGUGAGACAGCUUUAGCUGAGUCAGCUAAGAAAUUCAUUCAUGAGUUUGAGUUGUUGAUAGAUAUAUACUGCGGAAAUCUGGAGAAGGCUCAAGCCGUAAACACAUGUUUAGGCCACAACUGGUAGCUUUUGAUUCGGCAUGGUGCACGUUUCUGAAUAGUUUCGUGGUAUGGAAGGUUAAGGAUACUGAGUCAUUAGAGGAGGAUCUGGUGCAGGCUACAUGCCAGAUGGAAAUCUCAAUGACGCAAAAAUGCAAGAUGACACCUGAAGGAGAUAACGAUGUUGAUCUUGCACAUGAUAUGAGAGCUCUUCAGAAACAAGUUUUAGUUUAAUUCUUUUUAUGUUAAUGAAUUUUGAGAAUUGGAAAAGUGGAGAAUUUUUUUGUGACAACUCGAACUUUAGGCUUGCUUGAUGUAACGUUAUGUGUUUAUGUGACAC